AAACCAGCACCUCAAGUGGUCAGGAUGAUUAUUGGGCCUAAAGCAUCCGUAGCCUGCUCUGUAAGUUUUCGGUUAAAUCUGUACGCUCAACGUACAGGCUGCCGGGAAUACUGCAGAGCUAGGGAGUGGGAGAGGUAGACGGUACUCGGGAGGAAGGGGUAAAAUCCUUUGAUCUCUCGAUGACCACCUGUGGCGAAGGCGGUCUACCAGAACACGUUCGACGGUGAGGGAUGAAAGCUGGGGGAGCAAACCGGAUUAGAAACCCCUGUAGUCC
rnacentral:rRNA from 1 species